GGUGAGUUAGACGAUCUGACUUUUAAUCAGGUGGUCGCAGGUUCGAUCCCUGCACGCCCCACCA
rnacentral:tRNA from 1 species